rnacentral:lncRNA from 1 species
GGCGACGCUGCCUGGCGAUUGAUGCCUCCGUGUUGGGGGCAGGAGGCGAGGUACUGACACACUCACGCAUUCACAAGGAAUGGGGUCUGACCGUGCUGAGGGGAUCGGCACCGACCUGCAGAGUAGUCAGGGAGGCAGCGCGGUGCGGAACGAACUUCGAGGCAGCAGCAGCAACUAGCUGCGGUGCUGCAUUCAACAGCCCUGCAACAAGUCUGCUGCUAGUCUGGUUGCAAUGGUGGUUGUUGUGGUGGUAGAUUUGUAAGGGAUGUGGAAUGUGGGGCAUCAUCAGUUGCGGCGUUGGGCAGUCCGCCCAUUGCUCCGGGGACACCUUCAUGGCACCCCAUGUGAGAUCAGGGUGCAUGGCACGCAUUGUGAAUACUGUAUCUCCAUCUCCACUUCUGCUUCAUUCUGCUCAGCGUUGUAUUGCAUUGUAUUGUCUUGUAGUAGAAAACUGUGUCUGUGUGUGGGUGUGUUUUGUUUUGAUUUAUUUUCCUUUCGUUGUUAUUUAUUGUUUCUUGAUUCGUAAAGUAGCAAUUGCCUUCCAUCACAGUAAACAUCUGAUUGGGCAGGUUUUGACUGUAUCUUUCCAUUCGUUUUGCAGGAGGAUCAAAGUUCGCUCGAGUUCAAUUGGAUUCUUGAGGUAACGAGGUAAUACAGUAACAUUAAGUCUAAGUGAUUGUAAUUUGUUUUUGUUUAAUUAAUCAAGGAAAUGGUGUUGUUUUUUCAUGUGGCAUACUUUGUUUGAUAAGCAAUACGAGAGUAUUUGGGAAACAAGCGUAUUUUUUUAUGCAGGUUGCAACUCUUCUUCUUUUGUGAACUGUUGUAGAAUUUUCUUUUUAUCCAAUUCUAAAUAUUGUAGCAUAUUAGGAUUUUUGAAGGGCUUGUAUCUAUAAAGUAUUCAUUAAAAAACACAUUGCUCCAUUUUAAAGUAAACGUACAAAAUAUGUAACUACCAACCUUCUCCUAAAUUAAGAGGGUGAAACACUUUACCUUAUUAUUUUACCCAUGAUAAAUUUUGAUGCACUUAGGAACUUAUAUAUAUCUUGCAAAGGUUUAUUUUCUUUAACUUUCUGGAACAUUUAUCAGCGAAAAGUAUCAUUUUUUGGCAUUAUUUUGCAACACUCUGAAAAUUAUGACAGAGUUCUAUACAAUAAUGUUGAUUUUUCCAUUAUAAACAUACUUACAUAUAUUAACUACAAAAUUAAUUGGAAUAAAAAUAUAUUAAGAUAAAAUACACAUGUAUCAAUUACAAAGUUUAUAUAUAUCUUGCAAAGU